AAGACCUUGCGCUUUUGGAGCGGCCGAUGCCUGAUUAGCUAGUUGGUGGGGUAAAAGCUUACCAAGGCAACGAUCAGUAGUUGGUCUGAGAGGACGGCCAGCCACACUGGGACUGAGACACGGCCCAGACUCCUACGGGAGGCAGCAGUGGGGAAUUUUGGACAAUGGGCGCAAGCCUGAUCCAGCAAUGCCGCGUGAGUGAAGAAGGCCUUCGGGUUGUAAACUGCUUUUGUACGGAACGAAACGGUUACGGUUAAUACCGUGAUUACUGACGGUACCGGAAGAAGAAGCACCGGCUAACUACGUGCCAGCAGCCGCGGUAAUACGUAGGGUGCGAGCGUUAAUCGGAAUUACUGGGCGUAAAGCGUGCGCAGGUGGUUUUGUAAGUCAGAUGUGAAAGCCCCGGGCUUAACCUGGGAACU
rnacentral:rRNA from 1 species